rnacentral:rRNA from 1 species
GUUGAACGCUGGCGGCGGGCCUAAUACAUGCAAGUCGAGCGGACAGAUGAAGCUUUUGCUCGUCUUACGUGAGGGGCGGGCGGGUGAUUAACAGGAGUAUAACCGACCUAUAAGGCUGGGAUCAGUUCGGGAAAGCUGAUCUAAUACCGGAUAAGAUGGUGAACCUGAGGGUUCUUUGGAGAUAACCGUAUUUGCUGUCACUAGUAGAGGUUUCCUCGCCGCAUUAGCUAGUUGGUACGGUAACGGCUUACCAAGGCUACGAUGCGUAGCUGAACUGAGAGGGUGAUCGGCCACACUGGAACUGAGACACGGUCCAGACUCCUACGGGAGGCAGCAGUAGGGAAUAUUGGGCAAUGGGCGAAAGCCUGACGCAGCCAUGCCGCGUGUGUGAUGAAGGUCUUCGGAUCGUAAAGCACUGUUAGUAGGGAAGAACAACUGUGUAAGUAAACCUGGCCGUAUUGACGUUACCUACUGAAAAAGCACCGGCUAACUACGUG